rnacentral:rRNA from 1 species
CCAAGGAGUCUAACAUGUGCGCGAGUCAUGGGGUUGUAAACCCAAAGGCGUAAUGAAAGUAAAGGUCAAUUCGGUUGACCGAGGUGAGAUCCCUGUAAGGGGCGCAUCACUGUCCCAUCGCAUCUACUUGUUAGAGCGGUGGAGAAAAAGCGUACACGUUGGGACCCGAAAGAUGGUGAACUAUGCCUGAGCAGGAUGAAGUCAUCGGAAACGGUGAUGGAGGUCCGUAGCGGUUCUGACGUGCAAAUCGAUCGUCAGACUUGGGUAUAGGGGCGAAAGACUAAUCGAACCAUCUAGUAGCUGGUUCCCUCCGAAGUUUCCCUCAGGAUAGCUGGCACUUAAACGCAGUUUUACCCGGUAAAGCGAAUGAUUAGAGGCCUUGGGGACGAAACGACCUCAACCUAUUCUCAAACUUUAAAUGGGUAAGAAGUCUCGCUUGCCUGACCGAAGCUCAGACGUUGAAUGCGAGUGCCAAGUGGGCCAUUUUU